CGUACGCUAAUUUGGUAAAAAGCCAAUUUGACAUUUACUCAGUACAUUAUUUUCAUUGAGGAAAUAUAUACGAGUCUGCUGUUAAUGAUAAUGCAGAGGAUUCUCCCAAGGUUGCUGUUGAUGCAUAUCCCACGGUAGUUAUUAGGGUUAAAUGUGAGAAAUAAAAGUAGCAAGUAAUUAAAGAGCAGCAGUAAAAUAACAAUAAGCUGGCUAUAUACAGGGUGUUACGGUACAGAGUCAAUGUGGAGGCUAUAUACAGGGGUACCGGUACUGAGUCAAUGUGGAGGCUAUAUACAGGUGGGUACCGGUACAGAGUCAAUGUGGAGGCUAUAUACAGGGGGUACCGGUACAGAGUCAAUGUGGAGGCUAUAUACAGGGGGUACCGGUACAGAGUCAAUGUGGAGGCUAUAUACAGGUGGGUACCGGUACAGAGUCAAUGUGGAGGCUAUAUACAGGGGUACCGGUACAGAGU
rnacentral:lncRNA from 1 species